AUUGAACGCUGGCGGCAGGCCUAACACAUGCAAGUCGAACGGUAACAGGAAGAAGCUUGCUUCUUUGCUGACGAGUGGCGGACGGGUGAGUAAUGUCUGGGAAACUGCCUGAUGGAGGGGGAUAACUACUGGAAACGGUAGCUAAUACCGCAUAACGUCGCAAGACCAAAGAGGGGGACCUUCGGGCCUCUUGCCAUCGGAUGUGCCCAGAUGGGAUUCGCUAGUAGGUGGGGUAACGGCUCACCUAGGCGACGAUCCCUAGCUGGUCUGAGAGGAUGACCGGCCACACUAGAACUGAGACACGGUCCAGACUCCUACGGGAGGCAGCAGUGGGGAAUAUUGCACAAUGGGCGCAAGCCUGAUGCAGCCAUGCCGCGUGUAUGAAGAAGGCCUUCGGGUUGUAAAGUACUUUCAGCGGGGAGGAAGGGAGUAAAGUUAAUACCUUGGCUGAUUGACGUUACCCGCAGAAGAAGCACCGGCUAACUCCGUG
rnacentral:rRNA from 1 species